rnacentral:rRNA from 1 species
AAAUUUAUCUUUAAGUGAAGAAGCUUAAAUACACAUGCAGGACAAGAAGACCCUAUAGAGCUUUACCUAAAGAGUACAAAUAAAGUAAUCUGCGGUUCGGUUGGGGCGACCAGGGGACAUCAAUCACCCCCAAAAAUCUAAGAUUUACCAAUCAUCAUAAAGAUCCUUACAUAAGAUCCAAGAAUCAAGCUACCUUAGGGAUAACAGGCUAAUCCCCUUAGAGAGCCCUUAUCGACAAGGGGGGUUGGCACCUCGAUGUUGGCUUAGGAUUUCUCCGUUGUCGCAGCCGACACGGUUAGAUGGUUUGUUCAACCAUUAAA